rnacentral:rRNA from 1 species
AUGGGCUGCUAUGAUGCCACCAAGGGAAAGCCUGAGGGCGAUCUUAAUCCAGCACAGCUGGAAGCUUUUGAGAAGAUCGAUACCCUCUUUAAAGGUGCUCUUCUGAGUGUUCUUGAUGACUCCAUUGUGGAUUCGUAUAUGUCGUUUGACAACGGCAAGGACAUGUGGGCUGCGCUCGAGGCCAAGUUUGGUGCCUCGGACGCUGGCAGUGAGUUGUACGUCAUGGAGCAAUUCUAUGACUACAAGAUGACUGAUGAGCGCCCUGUUGUACAGCAGGCUCAUGAGAUACAGUCGCUCGCAAAAGAACUUGAGUACUUCAAGUGUGUGUUGCCGGACAAAUUUGUUGCCGGAGGCAUCAUUGCCAAGCUUCCACCUUCGUGGAACAAUUUUGCUACUUCCCUGAAACACAAGAGACAGGAGUUUUCCGUUGCAGAUCUCAUUGGUAAUCUUGAUGUUGAAGAGAAGGCGAGAGCAAAGGACACACGUGCUCGAGUUGCUGAGGGAGGUUCUAGUGCCCACAUGGUACAGAAGAAGAACUCCCAGCCCAACAAGUUCAAAAACAAUAAGAACAAAACUCAGGGCAAAGGCAAGUUUGAUACAAAGAACAAGCCAUCACAUUCUACCAACUUCAAGAAGAAUUCUCAUAAGAAGGGGAAGGGACUUUGCCAUGUCUGCGGUGAUCCUAAUCACUGGGCUCCGAAGUGUCCUAACCGCUUUGAGGAGCGCGAACAUGAGAAGAGCGGCAAGUCUGCUAAUGUUGUCAUCGGUGAUAUUGAUAUGAAGGAAUCAGGGCAACAGGGACUUCACCUGUGCUGA